GUUCAACCAUCUUUUUUUUCUCUGUGUGCAUAUCAUUGUUGUGGUAAAAGAUACAUAACAUAAAAUUUACCAUCUUAACCUUUUUUACAUGUACAGUCCAGUGCACCAGUGGUGUUAAGUAGUCUCAUGCUGUUGUGAAACAGAUCUCCAGAGGUUUUUCAUGUUGCACAAGUAAAACUCCAGGCCCACUAAACAACAGCUUCCCUUUGGCCCACCCCCCAGCCCCUGGCAACCACCAUCCCGCUUUCCAUCUCCAUGAAUUCAACUCCUCUACAUAUUUCAGCUCAUGUGAUUGUAUUGGACCCACCCAGAUCAUCCUAUGAGGGACAGCCGAUUAUAUCUGCAAAGUCCCUUUUGCCAUGUAAG